CAGGACUUAAUAAAAUAAUAAUGACAAUAAAAAUAGAAUGUUACAGCAUAGGAAUAAUGAUUAAAUAUAAUAAAGUGAUUAAUUUUAUUGUUAUAUUUUUAUGAUACAAUAAAAUAAAAUCAAUUGAUUGAAUAGGAACAGUCGGGGAUAUUCGUACUUAUAAGUCAGAGGUGAAAUUCUUGGAUUUUCUAAAGACGAACGAUUGCGAAAGCAUUUAUCAAGGAUGUUUUCAUUAAUCAAGAACGAAAGUUUGGGGAUCGAAGAUGAUUAGAUACCAUCGUAGUCUAAACCAUAAACAAUGCCGAUUCGAGGGUGGUGUGUAGUGUAAAUGUGUGUUUGUAUGUUCUAGCGAUAGUAUGUACAUACACACAUAAUUUUAUUAUCCAUACCACCAUCGUAUGCGAAAGCAAAAUUUUUUGGGUUCUGGGGG
rnacentral:rRNA from 1 species